UGUUACCAUCCAGAUCUGGGAAAACCCAAUGAAAACUCACCUUGUACGAUGAAGGACUUGUCAAAAGUUGGAUUUCUUCAUACGCAUCUUACGAACUUUGGUUGUCCAAAAGCUUGUUUCGACGGACGAUCUCAAAAUGGUAUUUCUUCACUUUCUUUUUUACCUUUUAAACACUUCAUUUUGAAUUUUCGUACAAAACUUCUACUGGAAGAGUUUUUCUGAACGGAUUUAUAAGUCCAAAUCUGCCCCAAAUUGAUUGUUUUUUAUUCGAAUCCUAGAAUUGCGUAUUAUUUUCAUUCCAAACAACAGUAUCUAAGGUCAAGAACAAUGUUAUUACAGAGUGGGCAUAAAAAAUUGUCUGACCUAAAAAUCUUUCACUCUUCCUUUAAUUUUCUUUCAUGUAUACAAUUCGUGAUUUGCUGUGGGGGUGAUCAUCAAGCUCGGUGUCUCAAUUUGGUGCCCUAGAGAGGUAGUAGCUGUUCUGUUUGAAGUAUGCCUAAAAAAUAAUGAUGUACCUUUCUAUGGAACAAUAUAAAGGAGUAACACUUGCUGAGGAGCUGAGAGGUUGUUACUUGCAUUCAAGGUCUGAGCACCAGCGACCAGCGUUGACAUCGAGCCUACAACAGUCUGAUUCGGAGACGGGGGUGAGCACUUGGCUUUUUAUGCUAUACAAGUUUCCAUCUAUAUAUAUGAGUUGUCUUUUACUUUUUAAGGAAGUCUUAUUUCUAUGGUCCACUUUUGGGACUUGUACUCAUUUUGUUAGUAGUUUUGUAGCUGUGACUUUCAGGUUCUGGGAGGAAUCUCUUAUUUGUAUAUAUGUUUUGGCUUGCUU